rnacentral:misc_RNA from 1 species
GUAGGUGAACCUGCGGAAGGAUCAUUACUAAAAAUCGAAUGGGAAACAGCAUGAAAUAUUUCUUGCUUUUCCUUUUCAAAAUUAUCUCAUAUAAGUCCUUGUGAACAUUUUCCUGUUGCCUUGGCGGGCCUUUUAUUUAUUUUAACUUGUCCGCCAAAGGUAUUGAAUAAACCAAUAAUUUUUUGCUUUUAAAUUUGUUAAAAUUGCUCAUUUUUCUCUUUUGAGAAUGAGACUUAAAAUAAAAAACUUU